GACGAACCGAGCGAACGUUGUUCGGAAUCACUGGGCGUAAAGCGCACGUAGGCGGAUCUUUAAGUCAGGGGUGAAAUCCCGAGGCUCAACCUCGGAACUGCCUUUGAUACUGGGGAUCUCGAGUCCGGGAGAGGUGAGUGGAACUGCGAGUGUAGAGGUGAAAUUCGUAGAUAUUCGCAAGAACACCAGUGGCGAAGGCGGCUCACUGGCCCGGAACUGACGCUGAGGAGCGAAAGCGUGGGGAGCGAACAGG
rnacentral:rRNA from 1 species